GACGAACGCUGGCGGCGUGCUUAACACAUGCAAGUCGAACGAAGUGGCGAACGGGUGAGUAACGCGUAAUCAACCUGCCCUUCAGAGGGGGACAACAGUGGGAAACGACUGCUAAUACCGCAUACGGAAGGAGGAGAUUGCGUCUGAUUAGCUAGUUGGAGGGGUAACGGCCCCCCAAGGGGAUCAUCAGUAGGCGGUCUGGAGGGAUGGACGGCCACAUUGGGACUUGGAACCGGCCCAGACUCCUACGGGAGGCAGCCGUGGGGAAUCUUCCGCAAUUGACGAAAGUCUGACGGAGCAACGCCGCGUGGGUGGUGACGGCCUUCGGGUUGUAAAGCUCUGUUAAUCGGGACGCGGUACCGAAAUAGAAAGCCACGGCUAACUACGUGCCAGCAGCCGCGGUAAUAC
rnacentral:rRNA from 1 species